UACGUAGGGUGCAAGCGUUGUCCGGAUUUAUUGGGCGUAAAGAGCUCGUAGGCGGUUUGUCGCGUCGGAUGUGAAAACCCAGGGCUCAACCCUGGGCCUGCAUUCGAUACGGGCAAACUAGAGUAUGGCAGGGGAGACUGGAAUUCCUGGUGUAGCGGUGAAAUGCGCAGAUAUCAGGAAGAACACCCGUGGCGAAAGCGGCUCUCUGGAACGGUACUGACGCUGAGACGCGAAAGCGUGGGGAGCGAACAGG
rnacentral:rRNA from 1 species